rnacentral:rRNA from 1 species
GAGUUUGAUCCUGGCUCAGGACGAACGCUGGCGGCGUGCUUAACACAUGCAAGUCGAGCGGGGUCCAUCCUUUCGCAAGAAAGGUGAAGACCUAGCGGCGAACGGGUGAGUAACACGUGAGGAACCUGCCCCGAAGACUGGGAUAACACCGGGAAACCGGUGCUAAUACCGGAUGCCCUCAGAGAGUCGCAUGGCUCAUUGAGGAAAUGGAUUCCGCUUCGGGAGGGCCUCGCGGCCUAUCAGCUUGUUGGUGGGGUAACGGCCUACCAAGGCUCCGACGGGUAGCUGGUCUGAGAGGACGACCAGCCACACUGGGACUGAGACACGGCCCAGACUCCUACGGGAGGCAGCAGUGGGGAAUCUUGCGCAAUGGGCGAAAGCCUGACGCAGCAACGCCGCGUGGGGGACGAAGGCCUUCGGGUUGUAACCCUUCACGCAGGACGAACAUGACGGUACCUGCAGAAGAAGCCCCGGCCAA